GACGGAGGAUGCAAGCGUUAUCCGGAAUGAUUGGGCGUAAAGCGUCCGCAGGUGGCAGUUCAAGUCUGCUGUCAAAGACCGGGGCUUAACUUCGGAAAGGCAGUGGAAACUGAACAGCUAGAGUGUGGUAGGGGUAGAGGGAAUUCCCGGUGUAGCGGUGAAAUGCGUAGAGAUCGGGAAGAACAUCGGUGGCGAAGGCGCUCUACUGGACCACAACUGACACUCAGGGACGAAAGCUAGGGGAGCGAAUGGG
rnacentral:rRNA from 1 species